GACGAACGCUGGCGGCGUGCUUAACACAUGCAAGUCGAACGGAAAGACCCUGCUUUUGUGGGGUGCUCGAGUGGCGAACGGGUGAGUAACACGUGAGUAACCUGCCCUUGACUUUGGGAUAACUUCAGGAAACUGGGGCUAAUACCGGAUAGGAGCUCCUGCUGCAUGGUGGGGGUUGGAAAGUUUCGGCGGUUGGGGAUGGACUCGCGACUUAUCAGCUUGUUGGUGGGGUAGUGGCUUACCAAGGCUUUGACGGGUAGCCGGCCUGAGAGGGUGACCGGCCACAUUGGGACUGAGAUACGGCCCAGACUCCUACGGGAGGCAGCAGUGGGGAAUAUUGCACAAUGGGCGGAAGCCUGAUGCAGCAACGCCGCGUGCGGGAUGACGGCCUUCGGGUUGUAAACCGCUUUCGCCUGUGACGAAGCGUGAGUGACGGUAAUGGGUAAAGAAGCACCGGCUAACUACGUG
rnacentral:rRNA from 1 species